rnacentral:rRNA from 1 species
AAAUUGAAGAGUUUGAUCAUGGCUCAGAUUGAACGCUGGCGGCAGGCCUAACACAUGCAAGUCGAGCGGCAGCGGGAAAGUAGCUUGCUACUUUUGCCGGCGAGCGGCGGACGGGUGAGUAAUGCCUGGGAAAUUGCCCAGUCGAGGGGGAUAACAGUUGGAAACGACUGCUAA